CAGUAGCCGCGGGAAUACAGAGGAUGCAAGCGUUACCCGGAAUGAUUGGGCGUAAAGCGUCUGUAGGUGGCUUUUCAAGUCCGCCGUCAGAUCCCAGGGCUCAACCCUGGACAGGCGGUGGAAACUACCAAGCUGGAGUACGGUAGGGGCAGAGGGAAUUUCCAGUGGAGCGGUGAAAUGCGUUGAGAUCGAAAAGAACACCAACAGCGAAAGCACUCUGCUGGGACGACACUGACACUAAGAGACGAAAGCUAGGGGAGCAAAUGGGAUUAGAUACCCCCGUAGUCCCUGUCUCUUAUAU
rnacentral:rRNA from 1 species